UGCGGUCGAACAGGGUCGUGUGUACAUUUAGGCAGCAAGAUGCACAUAUAUGCAUACAUGGUGCUUUCAAGGACAGGCAAUCAACGAGCACUUCGAAGUUGAUGUGCGUGAUGCGUGUGACUUUUACUGCGAAGAAGCAGGGCGCGAGUAGCCGCUACAACAGGAAUAAUUGCAUUCCUCUGGCCUUGCACACACAUAGUCUCUUGCCCUGCCGCGCGUGUGUGGAUGUCGUGGACCCGCUCUCAUAAUCUAGCGCACGCUCCUGCUGGUGACAUAGAUACUUAUGUAUGUCUAUCCUCACCCAGCGACUGCGCCUCGCCGUGAGGUGCCAGCUCCAGACCGUCCUGCUCGCAGAUUGCCUUGGCCGUGGUGAAGUUCCACAAACAGCCGCCAGGGUAAAUGUCGUACAGCGUGUAGAUACGACCACCCUCUUCUGAAUUGUCGUACUGGAUCUUGUUAUAGGUAUAUGUGAAGGGAUCGGAGCAUGCGGCCUGCUGAGGCAGAGUGAGGGGCCCCCGGCGGCGAAAGGGAGGGCGAGCAGCAGCAGCAGUAGCAGCAGCGGUUUGCGGCGGGGGAGUUGCGGCAACCGGGCCACUGAGUAACUUGAUUUGUGCUCGCUGUUGCCACUGAAAGGCGCCGACGGUGAUGUAUACAGCAACCUUCAUAUUAAUAUGCAUGUAUGAGGGUACUGACGAGUAUGAUUCUACGUUUCAAGCAUACGCAUGCCAGUUCACCUGCUGCAGGACGGCAGAGCAUGAAGACUGCUGGCUACUAGUGCGACGCCUACAAGGCUGGCGAUAGCAACGUGGAUGCGAGUUGCGUCUUUGGUGCUGCAGCAUUCACCGCAGCGCGUUCGUGCGCCUUGACGUUUGGUGCUAUCUAUCCAGCCAGACGUGCUGGUCGCAGCUGAUAUGUAACGAGCCGCGGCUGCCGUCCCCGCGGUAACUUGCCAACUUCUCAGUUUUAUUGUUUCAUCGGUCAGCAGCGUCAUUACGACAAGCAUGCAUACAGUAUCAAGUAGUCACGUGUGCAGCACCGGCUGUACCGCUCACUCACCUGGUCACGGCACACGAAGCGGACGGGCUGGUCGCAGCCCUGCAGGUGCACGUCUCCCUCCUGGCUCAUCAGGUAGCACAGGUCGGCGGAGGGGUCUGCUGGCACCCCGUCCAUCCAACACGUGUAGCGGUUCUUGGCGCACAGCUCCCGGAGGACGGCUGCGGGCGAGCGAGCAUGCAUGGAUGCACGUUGUAGAUACAAUGACGGCGCUUGUGCACGCAAUGUGCAGCAAACCGAGUAAAACAGCAUAUAUGAUGUAAUGAGGUGCCGCUCUUACGCAGUCCUAGUAUCAGUGAGGGGCGGAGGAGUUCGCUGAUAUGCUCUAUGCCAUUGUGCUCACCCAGUGACUGCGCCUCGCCGUGAGGUGCUAGCUGCAGACCGUCCUGCUCGCAGAUUGCCUUGGCCGUGGUGAAGUUCCACAAACAGCCGCCAGGGUAAAUGUCGUACAGCGUGUAGCUGCGGC
rnacentral:lncRNA from 1 species